rnacentral:miRNA from 1 species
CUAUGGGUUAAGGAUGAGACU